rnacentral:rRNA from 1 species
UACGUAGGUGGCAAGCGUUGUUCGGAAUUAUUGGGCGUAAAGGGCGCGUAGGCGGUUUGUUAAGUCGGCUGUGAAAGCCCGGGGCUCAACCCGGGAACUGCGUCCGAUACUGGCAGGCUUGAAUCCGGGAGAGGGAUGCGGAAUUCCAGGUGUAGCGGUGAAAUGCGUAGAUAUCUGGAGGAACACCGGUGGCGAAGGCGGCAUCCUGGACCGGCAUUGACGCUGAGGCGCGAAAGCCAGGGGAGCAAACGGG